UAUCUCUGUAGAGUCUGCAUAUCAAUAAGCGGAGGAAAAGAAACUAACUAGGAUUCCCUCAGUAACGGCGAGUGAAGCGGGAAGAGCUCAAAUUUGAAAUCUUCAAGGUUCUACCUUGACGAAUUGUAGUUUAAAGAAGUGUUUUCUGUUGGAGUUUUGGUAAAAGUUCUUUGGAAUAGGACAUCAUAGAGGGUGAGAAUCCCGUAUUUGACCAUUAUUUCCAGCUUUGUGAUACACUUUCAAAGAGUCGGAUUGUUUGGGAAUGCAGUCCAAAAUGGGUGGUAAAUUUCAUCUAAAGCUAAAUAUUGGCGAGAGACCGAUAGCGAACAAGUACCGUGAGGGAUAGAUGAAAAGAACUUUGAAAAGAGAGUUAAACAGUACGUGAAAUUGUCAAAAGGGAAGCGUUUGACACCAGUGUUGUUUUCUCGAAAAUCAAUUAAAAAAGGCAGGAUUUUGUGUCGUAUUGACUUUAUCAGCUUUCUGCACUCUUUUCUUGUCUUUUUUAAUGCACUUUUCGUUUAACAAGUCAACAUCAAUUUCUUUUGUUGUAAAAGGGUCAUUGGAAGGUGGCUUUCUUUUCGGAGAAAGUGUUUAUAGCCUUUGGCCUCUGCAAUCGGAGAGAUUGAGGUCUGCAGCGUAGAUCCUUCGGGGUUAGAUACAUUUGUGCUAAGUUAUAGCCUUUCAUAGACAACUUGUUGACUAUGAUCAGUCAUGUAGCUUACUCGCUUAUGCUAUUUUACCUACGCUUAGGAUGUUGAGUCAUCACACAUCUCU
rnacentral:rRNA from 1 species